rnacentral:rRNA from 1 species
GACGAACGCUGGCGGCGUGCCUAAUACAUGCAAGUCGAACGCAUUUUCUUUCACCGUAGCUUGCUACACCGAAAGAAAAUGAGUGGCGAACGGGUGAGUAACACGUGGGUAACCUGCCCAUCAGCGGGGGAUAACACUUGGAAACAGGUGCUAAUACCGCAUAAUUCCAUUUACCGCAUGGUAAAUGGAUGAAGGGCGCUUUUGCGUCACUGAUGGAUGGACCCGCGGUGCAUUAGCUAGUUGGUGGGGUAACGGCCUACCAAGGCUGCGAUGCAUAGCCGACCUGAGAGGGUGAUCGGCCACACUGGGACUGAGACACGGCCCAGACUCCUACGGGAGGCAGCAGUAGGGAAUCUUCGGCAAUAGACGCAAGUCUGACCGAGCAACGCCGCGUGAGUGAAGAAGGUUUUCGGAUCGUAAAACUCUGUUGUUAGAGAAGAACAAGGAUGAGAGUGGAAAGUUCAUCCCUUGACGGUAUCUAACCAGAAAGCCACGGCUAACUACGUG